GGCUGCUUCUCCUCAUGCGGUAUUAAAGGUUCCUGCCUGCUGCACACUCAGAGGGGGGGCGGGGCUGCCAGGAAAGGACCAAUGACGUCAGUGUGUCGACCCUCCUCCUCCGCCCCGAUCACCUCCAGUCCAGCUCAGCAGAGUUCAGAUACAGCCUCAGAAACCCACUCCUCAUCACAUCCUGCACUCACCACCAGGGUCUAAACUUCAUCGCGGGGUAUCCUACCCUGCUGUCGACCUCGCUACCCCUCUGAGUUCAUGAAGUCGUCAUGAUGGAGUCUAACCUCAAAAGAUUUUGCACAUUUAUUUCCUACAUUGUUAAAUAAAUACAGUGUUCAUUCUUAA